GCUGAAACUCGCCUACAUGAAGCUGGAGUUGCUGGUAAUCGCGAAUCAGCAUGUCGCGGUGAAUACGUUCCCGGGCCUUGUACACACCGCCCGUCACACCAUGAGAGUUGGCAAUACCCAACGUACGUGAUCUAACCCGCAAGGGAGGAAGCGUCCUAAGGUAGGGUCAGCGAUUGGGGUGAAGUCGUAACAAGGUAAC
rnacentral:rRNA from 1 species